AAACUUUACAAUGCAGGAAACUGUGAUAAGGGAACCCCGAGUGCCCGUAUAUGCGGGCUGUCCGGAUGUUUAAAACGCAUCCGAAGAAAGGGCCGGGCAAGACCGGUGCCAGCCGCCGCGGUAAUACCGGCGGCUCGAGUGGUGGCCACUUUUAUUGGGCUUAAAGCGUUCGUAGCUUGAAUAAUAAGUCUCUUGGGAAAUCUGCAGGCUUAACCUGCAGGCGUUUAAGAGAAACUGUUGUUCUAGGAACCGGAAGAGGUGAGAGGUACUCCGGGGGUAGGAGUGAAAUCCUGUAAUCCCCGGGGGACCACCGAUGGCGAAGGCAUCUCACCAGGACGGCUUCGACAGUGAGGAAUGAAAGCUGGGGGAGCGAACCGGAUUAGAUACCCGGGUAGUCCCAGCCGUAAACGAUGUGCGUUAGGUGUGCCGGUGACCACGAGUCACUGGGGUGCCGAAGGGAAACCGUGAAACGUACCGCCUGGGAAGUACGGUCGCAAGGCUGAAACUUAA
rnacentral:rRNA from 1 species